rnacentral:rRNA from 1 species
GACAGAGGGUGCAAACGUUGUUCGGAAUCACUGGGCGUAAAGGGCUCGUAGGCGGCCAACUAAGUCAGACGUGAAAUCCCUCGGCUUAACCGGGGAACUGCAUCUGAUACUGGAUGGCUUGAGUUCGGGAGAGGGACGCGGAAUUCCAGGUGUAGCGGUGAAAUGCGUAGAUAUCUGGAGGAACACCGGUGGCGAAGGCGGCAUCCUGGACCGACACUGACGCUGAGGAGCGAAAGCCAGGGGAGCAAACGGG